rnacentral:rRNA from 1 species
GAUGAACGCUAGCUACAGGCUUAACACAUGCAAGUCGCAGGGUAACAUGAGGAAAGCUUGCUUUCCUUGAUGACGACUGGCGCACGGGUGAGUAACGCGUAUCCAACCUUCCCAUAACUACGGGAUAACCCGUUGAAAGACGGCCUAAUACCGUAUGACAUCGUUUGCUGACAUCAAAUAACGAUUAAAGGUUUAGCGGUUAUGGAUGGGGAUGCGUCUGAUUAGCUUGUUGGCGGGGUAACGGCCCACCAAGGCGACGAUCAGUAGGGGUUCUGAGAGGAAGGUCCCCCACAUUGGAACUGAGACACGGUCCAAACUCCUACGGGAGGCAGCAGUGAGGAAUAUUGGUCAAUGGGCGAGAGCCUGAACCAGCCAAGUAGCGUGCAGGAUGACGGCCCUAUGGGUUGUAAACUGCUUUUAUGUGGGGAUAAAGUGCGUGACGUGUCAUGCAUUGCAGGUACCACAUGAAUAAGGACCGACUAAUUCCGUG